AUGUUAGCGGCGGACGGGUGAGUAACACGUGGAUAACCUACCUAUAAGACUGGGAUAACUUCGGGAAACCGGAGCUAAUACCGGAUAAUAUUUUGAACCGCAUGGUUCAAAAGUGAAAGACGGUCUUGCUGUCACUUAUAGAUGGAUCCGCGCUGCAUUAGCUAGUUGGUAAGGUAACGGCUUACCAAGGCAACGAUGCAUAGCCGACCUGAGAGGGUGAUCGGCCACACUGGAACUGAGACACGGUCCAGACUCCUACGGGAGGCAGCAGUAGGGAAUCUUCCGCAAUGGGCGAAAGCCUGACGGAGCAACGCCGCGUGAGUGAUGAAGGUCUUCGGAUCGUAAAACUCUGUUAUUAGGGAAGAACAUAUGUGUAAGUAACUGUGCACAUCUUGACGGUACCUAAUCAGAAAGCCACGGCUAACUACGUGCCAGCAGCCGCGGUAAUACGUAGGUGGCAAGCGUUAUCCGGAAUUAUUGGGCGUAAAGCGCGCGUAGGCGGUUUUUUAAGUCUGAUGUGAAAGCCCACGGCUCAACCGUGGAGGGUCAUUGGAAACUGGAAAACUUGAGUGCAGAAGAGGAAAGUGGAAUUCCAUGUGUAGCGGUGAAAUGCGCAGAGAUAUGGAGGAACACCAGUGGCGAAGGCGACUUUCUGGUCUGUAACUGACGCUGAUGUGCGAAAGCGUGGGGAUCAAACAGGAUUAGAUACCCUGGUAGUCCACGCCGUAAACGAUGAGUGCUAAGUGUUAGGGGGUUUCCGCCCCUUAGUGCUGCAGCUAACGCAUUAAGCACUCCGCCUGGGGAGUACGACCGCAAGGUUGAAACUCAAAGGAAUUGACGGGGACCCGCACAAGCGGUGGAGCAUGUGGUUUAAUUCGAAGCAACGCGAAGAACCUUACCAAAUCUUGACAUCCUUUGACAACUCUAGAGAUAGAGCCUUCCCCUUCGGGGGACAAAGUGACAGGUGGUGCAUGGUUGUCGUCAGCUCGUGUCGUGAGAUGUUGGGUUAAGUCCCGCAACGAGCGCAACCCUUAAGCUUAGUUGCCAUCAUUAAGUUGGGCACUCUAAGUUGACUGCCGGUGACAAACCGGAGGAAGGUGGGGAUGACGUCAAAUCAUCAUGCCCCUUAUGAUUUGGGCUACACACGUGCUACAAUGGACAAUACAAAGGGCAGCGAAACCGCGAGGUCAAGCAAAUCCCAUAAAGUUGUUCUCAGUUCGGAUUGUAGUCUGCAACUCGACUACAUGAAGCUGGAAUCGCUAGUAAUCGUAGAUCAGCAUGCUACGGUGAAUACGUUCCCGGGUCUUGUACAC
rnacentral:rRNA from 1 species